rnacentral:tRNA from 1 species
CACCCGAUGACUGAAAGUAAGUGUAGGUCUUUUAAACCUAAAAUAGUAUCCGACUACUUCUGGUGA